CAAUAGCGUAUAUUAAAGUUGUUGCGGUUAAAAAGCUCGUAGUUGGAUUUCUGCCGAGGACGACCGGUCCGCCCUCUGGGUGAGUAUCUGGCUCGGCCUGGGCAUCUUCUUGGAGAACGUAGCUGCACUUGACUGUGUGGUGCGGUAUCCAGGACUUUUACUUUGAGGAAAUUAGAGUGUUUCAAGCAGGCAUACGCCUUGAAUACAUUAGCAUGGAAUAAUAAGAUAGGACCUCGGUUCUAUUUUUUCGGUUUCUUAGAGCUGAGGUAAGUAGAUUAACUAAGGGAGUAGUUGGGGGUCGGAUUCGUAUUUAACUUAGUCAGAGGU
rnacentral:rRNA from 1 species